UCCACUGCUGUGUGUCUUGCUUGCCUGCCUCUGCUACCAAGUUUGUUGGAUUAUCCUUUUGUUUUGUCUCCCCUGGAUCAUUUGUUAUGGACUGUUUUUGCUGCUCUGCGGACAACCUUAGUUUGGACUCUGCUACUCAUCAGGCAUGCAGACCAGCAAAAGUUUAAAAGUCCAAACAACAACAACAAGUAUUUAUUGGGGAGAAACAAUUCUAAUCAAUUCCAAACGGAAAAUGUUUUUUUGCAAAACCAUAGCCUACAUGGCGGUGUAAAACUACUCUUCACAAAUAAAAAAUAAAAAACCCGAGGGAGACACACGCUCUCUUCAAGGGACCAUAAAA